GACGAACGCUGGCGGCGUGCUUAACACAUGCAAGUCGAACGGAGUGGCGAACGGGUGGGUAACACGCGGGUGACCUGCCCUGCCCUUCGGGAUAAGCCUGGGAAACUAGGUCUAAUACCGGCUAGUGUGGGAUGGGCACGCGGCAUAUCAGCUGGUGGGGGGGGUAAGGGCCUAGCAAGGCGGAGACGGGUAGCCGGCCUGAGAGGGUGGACGGCGCCAUUGGGCCAGAGGCACCGGCCAGAGGCAUACGGGCGGAAGGAGUGGGGAAUAUUGCACACUACGCGGAAGCCUGAUGCAGCGACGCCGGGUGGGGGAGGUCGGCCUUCGGGGUGUAAACUCCUUUUUGCAUAGACGCGGUAGAUGGAGAAGAAGCACCGGCUAACUACGUGCCAGCAGCCGCGGUAAUAC
rnacentral:rRNA from 1 species